UUUCCGUAGGUGAACCUGCGGAAGGAUCAUUACUGAGUGAGGGCCCCUCGGGGUCCAACCUCCCACCCGUGUUUAACGAACCUUGUUGCUUCGGCGGGCCCGCCUCACGGCCGCCGGGGGGCAUCUGCCCCCGGGCCCGCGCCCGCCGAAGCCACCUGUGAACGCUGUCCGAAGUAUGCAGUCUGAGACAAUUAUUAAAUUAAUUAAAACUUUCAACAACGGAUCUCUUGGUUCCG
rnacentral:misc_RNA from 1 species